UACGUAGGGGGCAAGCGUUGUCCGGAAUCAUUGGGCGUAAAGAGCUUGUAGGCGGUUUGUCGCGUCUGCUGUGAAAAUCCGGGGCUCAACUCCGGACUUGCAGUGGGUACGGGCAGGCUAGAGUGUGGUAGGGGAGACUGGAAUUCCUGGUGUAGCGGUGGAAUGCGCAGAUAUCAGGAGGAACACCGAUGGCGAAGGCAGGUCUCUGGGCCACUACUGACGCUGAGAAGCGAAAGCAUGGGGAGCGAACAGG
rnacentral:rRNA from 1 species